UAACCUAACUCUGAUAUUUUGCAGUAAAUUGGGACAUUUAGGAAGGACAUUUUUUUGUAUGGUUUAAUCCUUAUAAAGCCUCAAUUCUAACCCUUUUUUUCUUUCUUCUAAAGGAGAAAUCAUGUAAGGAUUUAGUUAUAAUAUUAUUCAAAUGCUUUAAAAAUAGGCAAUUCCAGCUUAAAACAACCCACUGCGCCGCUUCCUGUAUGAUUGCUGAACUUGUGUUGGCCAAUAGGUGGCACUGUGGGACCAAAAGUUCAUUUCUAAGCACCUGGUCGAGGCAGCACCGGCUCAGAGAGGAGCUGAGCACAAGCACAACCCGUUUUUAUCAUUGCUGUAUGGAAACACCCCUGGCCCGGAUGAGGAUGACUGCAGUUAGCAGUGGAACAUGUGUUUUCAAGUUUCUCUGACUGUCUGCCUUCUAUCCUUGGGCUCUCAUUCUCUGGACUCCCCCUCCAAAUUCACCUUGUUUACCAUGGACUGAGAUGAAACAAGAAGCAAAAAGAGGCUGUCACCCCUUCAUUGUUCCGUUCCGUACAUUUCGGAUGAAUUACACUGGCAGUGGAAAUAAUUGCUUGUCCCAAUUAUGAAUUCAUCUGCUGCCGUGGCUUUCAGACUUGAUGUGGAGAAAAUUCCCCAGAGCAGAACCAAACAAUGCGGGGGGAAUAAGGCACAGGAGCGUGUCAGUGGCCAUUAAUAUCCAUAAAGGCAAUUUCACAGCACACCUAAUGACAUAAAAUGACAGACAAUAACAGUUAGGGAAAAAGUGUGUGAGUAGAGGUGAGGUGGUGUAUGGGGGCUAGAGUAGGGAAGGAGCUAAUAUAGUUCUCAGCAAACACACGUAGAGAGUUAAUGUCAUACUUUUUCUGUCUAAGCUAUGUGCCAGAAAAUCUGACAGGUAGGAAAUAAAUGUUAAUGGGGUGGGCAUAAUAUUAGGAACACUUCCUAAUACAACGAAGGCCAGUACAACACCACUGCCUACAAUAAUCUUAAUAAUGAUUAUAAUAAGGAAAAAUGAUCAUUUGGAAAUGUAAGUGUAAAUGAAAGUAAGUGCAGUAAAACAAUACUGACAAAAACAAAGGUACAGAUCUGCUGUGAUCAUUCACGACUGGAUCUUUCCACCUGAGUUCUAUCAGAUUUUCUACUUUCUUCAAGGUAUAUUUGUUGUUUAGUUGCUGCUUUUAAGAUGUCUGGAUAAAAAAUGUCUCUGUGACUUCACAGAGCCUGUGCUGCCACAUUUUCUUUGUGCUUGCAUUUCUUUUUUUUAACUUCCUUUUACAGCCCAGCUGAGUUUUUAAUCAGGUAAUAAUAUAUAAAGAAUGAUGUAAAUU